rnacentral:lncRNA from 1 species
CACCAACAUGUCAGGUUUAUUUCUCCUUCGCUCUCAACUGAGAGCGGGGCAUCCAAAUCAUAACAAAACCAGGGCCCAAGAGUGGGAAGCGGCCCCCUGGGUGGGCCUGAACCCCAAUUUCACCCUUCCCCCGGGCAUAGGGCCCAGGCCCACGGGGCGGAGGCAGCACCAACAUUGGGGAUGGUCCCCCAAGAACAGAGGAGGAAGCCCAGCCUCCGGCAGGCAGUAUCCACAUCCACGCCCACCUGCUCAGGCCUGCAGCCUCCAGACCU